UCUCUCUCUCUCUAACCCUUCGUCUCUGAGUUCUCUCUAGAACCUUCCGAUUCUCUACCUUCUCCGAUGGAUUUCACCGCCAUUCCAGCCACCUCCACUCUCAUUCCCAUCGACCACCAUUCCCCAUGGUACCUUAUCUCACUAUUUCUCUCUCAAACUCGAAGUCCAGAAGCUUCCGCCAUGGAAGACGGUCGACUACAGCUCGCUUGAGUCCGUGCCAGCAUUUCUCCUGUGGUUUUUACGCGAUAAUGCUCUCUAUGGCAUUAAUGAUGAGUUUCAUGGCCAGGUUCCUCAUUUUGCCUAAUUUGUUUUCAAACCCUACUUUUCUACUCGAAUCUCUCUAAUUCUUGUGCUUCUAAAACAAUUUUUAGUCCGAUUUCUGUUUUCUACUCUAUUUCUCACUUAGUAUUUCCGAUUAUUUCAAGUUUUUGAUAAUUUCUUCUCUUUUCAAAAUUAGGGUUUCUGACCCCUUUCUUCAAAAUUGUUUCUUCUGCUUUUUUGAGUAUUACAUGUUUGUUUGUGCAUGUUUGUUUUACGAGUUUGUUUGGUUUCCUUAAUAGUCUGAAUUCCAUGCCUUAAUUCCUUGCUUAGGUUCUCAGAAUUUCAUGUCUAUUAUGCUUUAUAGGCCUAAAUUUUCAUUGUUCGUGCAAUAUUCUAUUGAUCUUGUACAUCUCUGUGAAUCUUUGAUUUGUAUGUGAUUUUCCUUAGAUGUUUUCUUGACUUCUUUUGAAUUACUUCCUUAUUUGGGCAUGCUUUCCAUACUUAAAAACAAUUCCCUCUAAUUUUUUUGUCAUGUCUGAGAUUCUUUGACUAAUUGUUAGAAUCAACUUAUAUUUCCUUGCCAUAUUUGUGCAUAAAUAAUCGUUUGAAUCUUCAGCAUAUAUUUUCCUUAAUUGAACUAUCAUGUACCUAACCCUUAUUGCGUAUUAUAUGCUUUACUACUUUCAUUAGGGCAAACACAACAGUUAAUUUAUUCCUUUUCUUUUGAAACCAAUGCUUGUUAUCGUUUGUCUUUGACUCCUUAGUCAAAGAGGAAUGUUGAUACUAAUUGGAUUUCUAUUGAUACUAGUUCCUUAAUUAAGGAUUGAUGCUCUGUUUAUGUACUCGUUUCUAGUACUAUAAAUACCCCUCCCCAUUCUCAUUGAAAGACACCAACACAUACUACAUAUCUCCUGCAAUUUCAAACUCUUUAAAUUCUCUCUUUCACUUUCUCUACUAUUUUUAUACUCUCUCAUUCUCUUAUUUGAACACUCAAUCGGCUGAAAGCCAAGAUUGAGUAAACUUGGGUUUGUUUUACUACACUAUUGGGGUUCUACUGCAUUGUUUAUUUGGGUUUGCUGCUACACAUUGCUGUUCUAACACUGCUAUUCUCACAUUGCUGCUCACACUCUCUGCUCACUCUACUCUUCUUGUGCAUUAUUGCUCUUUGGGUUCUAUUUGCCUGCAAAUGGUAUGUUACAUGUUUAAUAUACAUUCUCAAAAACAACAUGCUUUUGUUAGUCAUACACUUCAUCUUGUUCCUUGUGUGCUUUUAUCUAUGGUUCUGUUGUUCUUAUUGUCAGUAGCAUGCACUUACUAAUUUAUUUAGUUUAGCUUGGCAUGUUCCCCUUACCCCAUCCCUUGUCUCAAUAAAUGUUUACUUUUCCUUGUGCAUUACUACCAUGUAUCCAGGUCUACUUGGCUAUUUGAAUAGCCUAAAACCUCUUCCUGAGGCUGACUGUAUCAGGGUUUGGUGCAGUAAGAAGUGAACCCAUGUUUGCAACCAUGUCUAAUUACCUUCCUUGAAUAUGUUGGCUGUGUAGUUCUCUUUACUUAUAUGUUCUCUUCCCCUUUGCCCCUGUUUGUGUGUUGCUCUGAAAAGGUUCAAAUGAUUUCAGAAGAACUUUUUUAACCCUUUCAAUUGUUUUCUCAAACUUUUUCUCAAAUCUUUCAAUUGUUUUCUCAAACUGUCUUUCAGAUUCUACUAUUUUCUUAAACUGUCUCUCAACUGUUAUCAACUCUCUCGAUUCUAUCACAACUUCACUACUCUUAGAACAUUAGGUUCUGCCCCAUUACUGUAAGAAUUUCCUUGGGAGACCUUAAGCACCCACUGAACUUUGAUGCACAAGGCCGGCGCUUCCAAACUUGCACUUGUCAAAAAAUAAUAUCUUUGGGUGUUUGGUAUUGGCCAGGGGUUCAAGCGAACCCUUAG
rnacentral:lncRNA from 1 species